AUGUCACCGGCCUCCGCGCUGACGCUGGUGGACAGGACGGCGUCCGCGCUGGAGGCUUGUGGGGUGGCUGAUGAGGAGGAGGAGGAAGGCAGUGGAGGAGCUGGCGACGAUGAGGUCCAGGACCAGAAGCGUCCGUGGGCAGGCGGUGCUGGAGGAGCUGGCGACGAUGAGGUCCAGGACCAGAAGCGUCCGUGGGCAGGCGGUGCUGGAGGGGCUGGUCUGGCUGCUCAGGCUGAUGCAGCACAGUCGGUGGGGCAGGCAGGGGCUCCGCUGCAGUCUGGGGAGUGCUGGGCUCCAGGACUGCAAUGGCGAUGGUGUCCCUCAUCAUGGCCUUGCUCCUCUGGUUGUGCCUUAAAAAACAGAAUGUAACAAAUGCACAUUAGUAAUCAUGACAUCACACACACACACUCACACAGUGCCACUUCAAAUCAGAUGUGAGAGAAAGGAUCAGGUCUUACCAUUGCGUCAGGGUCCGCCGAUUGACAUCAUAUAGCUGGAUGCGGGUGCUCGUCAUGAGGGCUGCACAACUAUAAACAUUCUCGCGAAUUGUUAGAUAGUCCCUCAUGACGGCACCCCAGCGAGGAAUCCAGACCCCGGCAAUCUUCCUGCCCUCGCUGCAGUGGAGGAUGCUGAGGUCCAGCAGGACAGCCUCCACAAGCCUCGACACAUCGGGAGACUGCGCCGCUCCCGCCCCCUUGCCCAGGACCGCACUACAUAGACAGAGAGAGAGAGAGAGAGAGAGAGAGAGAGAGAGUGAGUCAGUGAGUUAAUUAGUGACUGACAGGACAGGACAAGAACCAAAAAAAGCUUGGAAAUUUAUUGUGACUGCUUACCGCUUCACACUAUCCACACCCCUGGCAUGUGAGCGUGCCGCUGGGUGGUCCGGAAUCGGCCUUGGACAAGCCGGCCCUGGUGACGGGGGGGGGGGGGGAAUUUGACCGCUGCCUUGUCCCAAUCACUCAACUUCAGCCAGAGAGCGGUGAUCUCUCUGGCUUGCCUGGGAGUGACGUAGCGGCGGUGGCGCAGUUCCACGAGGGCCUGGGCCAGGGCCACGACGUGCUGGUAGCUGCCUCCACCUGGCCCGAUAACAUCCUUCCUCCUCCUCCUCCUCCUCCUCCUCAGCCUGCUGCACCUCCAUUUGGUCCACGCGGGUGAGGUUUGAGGACUGAAGGAGAGCGCUGUGGUGUUCGAGGAGACGAAUCUCCUCUGGUUCCUCCUCCUCGAACUCUUCAUCACUGCCCCCCCACCCCCCCCCGGCUUCGUCCUCAUCAGUCCCUCCUGGAGCGUCAGGAUCAUCCAGGUCCUUCUGCAGCACAGCGCCCGUCUGGGAGAACAGGUACUCCACCCCAAUGAGUUCCCCUGUGGGCACACAGAGACACAGAUGUUAAAUGACAGACACCUAAGACAGGUGUUAAACGUUACCGUUACCUCAGACAGAUUUAUGACUUACCUGUGUACUCCCUGGGCAUGGUGUACGUGUCGACCAGCGUGAGCCCAAGAAGCUCUUGGGUCAGCUGGUCGAAGCUGUGCUGCAGCUGGGCACUGUAGCAACGCAGCGCCGACCUCUGUCCUCCCUCGAUUCUCGUUCCACCGCACCAGGCCCUCCAGCAGGUACACCUGGAAGUGUACAUCACUUGCAGAUUGUCCUAAGCAGAAACAAAGCAACACAGUUAGUGUGAGGACAAAUAAACACACAAAUACAUAAUUGAGUCUGUGUUGUAAACCACACAUGUACUUACCUGGGAUGAAGCGGCACAGGUGCAGGUGGAACGAUUCCAGGGAAGUGGAGCCUCGGCCGCACCGGUAGACGGGGAGCCUCACCCCGCCUUUGGUGAGCUCUCCCGUCUUGGUGUAGAGGUCCACUCCCGCAGGGUCCUGGAUGCAGUCGAGGUGUCGGCGCAGCGUGCUCCAGAUCUCCUCCAUUCGGGCGCGGUCGAUCAAAGGGACGCCCAUGCUGUCCGUCACGUGCCAGAAGGUGUCCAGCACCUCUUGGACCAGCCGCUCCGCCUCCACUGCACCCCUGGUGCGGCGCCGGCAGUGACGGGCGAGCUCCUUGGCGGACAGCUUGACCUCCUGGGCGUCCCUCCCCUCCUCGGACUGCUUGGCUCCUCUCAGGCGGGACACGUCUUCGGCGUCCCACUCAAAAAUGGGGAAGGAGAGCCUCGCCAUGAAGAGGCCGUAGAGCUGAUGGCUGUCGGUGGUCACCCCUCUGGCGAAACGCCGCAUGAGGUGCCACACGUCGAGCCUGACGACCAGCUCGUGCCACUCG
rnacentral:lncRNA from 15 species